AAUAUUAGUUAAGAACUUAAAACCCAAAGAAUUUGGCGGUAUUUUAUUCUGUUCAGAGGAACCUAUCCCGUAAUUGAUAUUACACGAUUAGCUUUACUUAAUUUAUUUGUUUGUAUAUCACCGUUAUCAGAAGAUCUUUUUAGAGUUAAAAUUUUCUUGUAUUAUAAUUAUAUUAUAUUUCAGGUCAAGGUGCAGCUUAUAAUUAAGAGGAGGUGGGUUACAAUAAAUUGUAUUUAUUAAUGAAUUUAUUAAUGAAUAUUAAUAAUGAAGGUGGGUUUGAUAGUAAUUUAAUUUAUUUAAUUUAAUUGAUAUUAGCUCUAAAUUGUGU
rnacentral:rRNA from 1 species